rnacentral:tRNA from 1 species
GCUCUGAUAGUGUAGUGGCCAAUCAUUCGGCCCUUUCGAGGCCGACACUCGGGUUCGAAUCCCGAUCAGAGCA